GACGAACGCUGGCGGCGUGCUUAACACAUGCAAGUCGAACGGAAAGGCCCUGCUUUUGUGGGGUGCUCGAGUGGCGAACGGGUGAGUAACACGUGAGUAACCUGCCCUUGACUUUGGGAUAACUUCAGGAAACUGGGGCUAAUACCGGAUAGGAGCUCCUGCUGCAUGGUGGGGGUUGGAAAGUUUCGGCGGUUGGGGAUGGACUCGCGGCUUAUGAGCUUGUUGGUGGGGUAGUGGCUUACCAAGGCUUUGACGGGUAGCCGGCCUGAGAGGGUGACCGGCCACAAUGGGACUGAGAUACGGCCCAGACGCCUACGGGAGGCAGCAGUGGGGAAUAUGGCACAAUGGGCGGAAGCCUGAUGCAGCAACGCCGCGUGCGGGAUGACGGCCUUCGGGUUGUAAACCGCGUUCGCCUGUGACGAAGCGUGAGUGACGGUAAUGGGUAAAGAAGCACCGGCUAACUACGUG
rnacentral:rRNA from 1 species